UUACAUCAGCAGUCGUCUAUGCGAUAGCGUGUGGUUGGCACCACCUGCCAGGGUUGCCCAGUGGGACAUAUCCUCCAAAACCUCGAGGCUAAUACACGCACGAAGCAGUCGGCCGCAGCACGAGGUUGCUCCCCGUCCUUACCGGCGGGUCACCUCGGUGGUGGAUGACACCCAGCUGGUAUGAAGACCAGUGCCCGUCAAGGGCAGCGUGCUGUUGGUUGACUCAGGCUGGUCCCCCUGGGACGGCCUGUGCUGGCAGAGUGGUGGCCUCGUGCCACGGAAACCGCUUGAUCGCACGAACUUCUGACUUAUCAGCUGUGAUUGUGGUGUAGUGGACCACAAUGGCCCUUACGAGUAACGGAGAAUUUGGGUUCGAUUCCGGAGAGGGAGCCUGAGAAACGGCUACCACUACCAAGGUGGGCAGCAGGCGCGCAAAUUGCCCAGUGCAGACACCCCUGUGAGGCAGCGACGAACCGCAGCAAUCCCGCCAGCACUCUGCUGGUGGGACUUGGAAUGGAUGCAAUCCAAACACAGCGAUGAGUAUCAACUGGAGGGCAAGUCUGGUGCCAGCAGCUGCGGUAAUUCCAGCUCCAAGGGCGUAUGCUAUCAUUGCUGCUGUUAAAACACCUGUAGUCUGCCACUGGGUCGCAGGUCCGCUGGGCGGCCCGGCUCGGACCGGCGUGGGGGGCCCCUCGGGGUUCCCUCGCCGCCCGACGCUGGGAUCUCACCCCUGGUGGUAUGCUCCUGCACCCGAGACACCUGUCGGUGAGAACGCCCCUGCCACAAGUCUCCUUCACUGGAGGCCCCAGCGGCUGUGCCCAGCACGCAGGCCAUGGUGCGAACCCCCAGGAGGAAGAGGGUGUGUGCCCACACCGCUCGGUCGUGCCCUGCGCACGGGGGACGCCCAGCCAUCGGGGCCCACCGUCGUGGAGAUCGUGGAAAACUCAGUGUGCCUCAGGCGUCCUGCAUUAUGGCUGAAUGUCCGUCCAUGAAAUCUCAGAGCAACGACCGAGCUGUGUCACUGGAGUUGUGCUGGCCUUGGAACCCGCUCAGGGCAACACGGCGCAUGUUCCCCGCCCCCAACGGCGCUGAAGCCUGGGGGGACCCCUUUCCAAAGGGGCCCCCCUCCGGCGAGCCGAGUGGGGUUUGUGGUCGCAUGCGUCAAACCGAAUGCGAUGGGACCGCUCAGGGUGAAAGAUACUGCAACGCCAGAGGUGAAAUUCUUAGACCGCUGCAAGAUCAACUGCGGCGAAGGCGUUCUGCAAGUGCUUGUUCGUCGAUCAAGGAUGAGAGUCCGGGGAGCGAAGAGGAUCAGACACCCUCGUAGUCCAGCACUGUAAACCGUGCCAGCCAGGCCUCAGUGGGGAAAAUCCAAAGACCCCACUGGUGCCAAGCCCCCUACAACGAGAAAUCCACAGCCUGUGGGUUCAGGGGGGAGUACGUUCGCAAGGCUGAAACUUAAAGGAAUUGACGGAAUGGCACCACAAGGCGUGGAGUAUGCGGCUUAAUUUGACUCAACACGGGGAAGGUUACCAGGUCAGGACACAGCUGGGAUUGACAGAUUGAGAGCUCUUUCUUGAUCCUGUGGAAGGUGGUGCAUGGCCGCUCCUGAUUGGUGGAGUGAUUUGUCUGGUUGAUUCCGAUAACGAGUGAGACAUCUGCCUCCCAGUAGCCUGGGGCUCGCAUUCGGUAGGGCUUCGAUCGGGGAACCAACGGUCGGCGUGCGUAGCCGGUGUCCCCCGUCUCCCUCGGCCGCGGCGGUGGGUUCGUCCCACAGUCCGAGGUCCGUUGUGGGGCGGUGUGGCGCGGGUGUCGCCCGUCGGUCGUCUCCGGACGGCCCGAGAGCCCCCAGUUCCCAGAACGCUUCUCUGAGGUGCUGCGCACGCUGCCAAAGUGCGCGCAUGCUAGAGCCAACAGCAGGUCUGUGAUGCUCCCAGAUGUCCUGGGCCGCACGCGCACUACACUGAUCCAGGGAAGGAGUCGCUGCGCCUGCUCUGCCAGGCCCUGGCCGGAAGUGGCUGGGAAACCCUGCAAGUCUGGAUCGUGAUGGGGAUAGAUGAUUGCAACUGUCUGCCUUGAACGUGGAAUGCCUAGUAGGCGUUGGUCAUCAGCCAACACCGAUUGUGUCCCUGCC
rnacentral:rRNA from 2 species